rnacentral:rRNA from 1 species
UGGGGAAUAUUGCACAAUGGGCGCAAGCCUGAUGCAGCCAUGCCGCGUGUAUGAAGAAGGCCUUCGGGUUGUAAAGUACUUUCAGCGGGGAGGAAGGGAGUAAAGUUAAUACCUUUGCUCACUUACGUUACCCGCAGAAGAAGCACCGGCUAACUCCGUGCCAGCAGCCGCGGUAAUACGGAGGGUGCAAGCGUUAAUCGGAAUUACUGGGCGUAAAGCGCACGCAGGCGGUUUGUUAAGUCAGAUGUGAAAUCCCCGGGCUCAACCUGGGAACUGCAUCUGAUACUGACAAGCUUGAGUCUCGUAGAGGGGGGUAGAAUUCCAGGUGAAGCGGUGAAAUGCGUAGAGAGCUGGAGGAAUACCGGUGGCGAAGGCGGCCCCCUGGACGAAGACUGACGCUCAGAUGCGAAAGCGUGGGGAGCAAACAGG